rnacentral:rRNA from 1 species
UACGAAGGUGGCAAGCGUUGUUCGGAUUUACUGGGCGUACAGGGAGCGCAGGCGGUUGGAUAAGCCCUCCGUGAAAUCUCCAGGCUUAACCUGGAAAGUGCAGAGGGGACUGUUCAGCUAGAGGAUGGGAGAGGAGCGCGGAAUUCCCGGUGUAGCGGUGAAAUGCGUAGAGAUCGGGAGGAAGGUCGGUGGCGAAGGCGGCGCUCUGGAACAUUUCUGACGCUGAGGCUCGAAAGCGUGGGGAGCAAACAGG